rnacentral:rRNA from 1 species
UUAAAGCGGUACGUGAGCUGGGUUUAGAACGUCGCGAGACAGUUCGGUCCCUAUCCACGGUAGGCGCAGGAGAUUUGAGGGGGGCUGUCCCUAGUACGAAAGGACCGGGACGGACAAACCUCCAGUGUGCCAGUUGUCCCGCCAGGGGCAUCGCUGGGUAGCUGCGUUUGGAAGUGAUAACCGCUGAAAGCAUAUAAGCGGGAAGCACGCCCCAAGAUAAGAUCUCCCUCCCCGCAAGGGGCUAAAGGUCACCCGAAGACUACGGGUUCGAUAGGCUGGGUGUGUAAGUCCGGAGACGGAUUAAGCUUACCAGUACUAAUAGACCGUGAGGCUUGACCAUA